rnacentral:lncRNA from 1 species
AGGCAAGAGGAGAGGCAGACACAUAGGAAUUGACAUCCUCACCUUAAGCACCCCAAAAAUCAGCCAUUGGAUAUAUUUCAGAUUUCAAAUGGUUAAUUAUGUAUAUGCUUUUAUAUCUGUGAUAUAUCAUACAACCAAAUUCAAGCCUUCUCAAGCUGAGCCUGAUCAAACUAGAUUUUCUCAACCUGGCCUGAAAUUAAUUUUGUGCCUGAGAACUGAAUUCAAGCAUGGGUCAAUCGACUUCGAACCAAGCAUAAUCAAUCAUACAUUUCAAGCUAAGUAUGAGCGAACUCGAGUUAAUCAGAUCAAUUGAUAGCUUUAGUUAUACCAUCGUUUGGCCAAAAAAAUGCACAGCACCAUGACAGGUUCACCAUGAAAUUGUUUUUUCCUGAUCUAUGUAGUUACAGCCAAGAUGACUCCGAAAAGCAUGUGAAGUGCUACAAAUCCUCAAUCAACAUAUUUGAAUUACCAAUACAUGUCACUCAGCAAAGCAGCAAUGUACUUUGGUAUCAUGAAUAAUCAUGAUGUAAAGAACAAAC